rnacentral:misc_RNA from 1 species
AAAGAGCAAUUGGAACUAAGCAAACGAGCCCAAACUGAAAGGCUUCACGCACACAACCCUAAGCACAAUUAGCUGAAAGGGAACGACCAUUGACAUUUCAACGAAAGGGCAAAGCCCCUUGUCUUUUUGGAGACUCCACACCAACUAAAAGGCCAAUUUGGCGGUGGUGAUCAUAAUGGCAUCUUUUUGUUGUUUGGCAUUUAUAAAUGUUCCCUUUUAGGCCUCUUCCCUGCCUUCAUCUUUUUCUCAUUCUGGCUUCCAUUAUAUAUCACCGACUCUUCAUCACUGAUCAAACUCUGCACAUUUUGCGGACAGUAAUGGUGGUGACAAUAAGGACAAGGCGAAGGCUCUGAAGAAACUGCAGGCAAUGGAUGAAACCCAGAAGCAUUCCUCUGUUUCCACAGAGGAUAGGGCAGUGCAUAUGGAGGAGGAAAAAGGUGGCUGCCAAGAAGCGGUGUACCUUUCUUGAUCAACUCUUUUCGAUGAAAAUUUCUGUGACAAUCACAGGCCUCACAAAGAAGAGCUUCUUUAGUACCUUGAUCACCUUUUGCUAUGAACUCUCCACAACCAUCUGCUGCAUAGCCACCAAUCAAGAUUGCAUGGUUACGCCUACACUCUCUGUACUUAACAGUGGUUUCCCUUGAUGAUUCUUCAUUGAGUUGUUUAGAAUCUGAUUCACUAUUAGCCAUGAGACAUCAGAAAGAAAAGAGGAGAGAGAGAGAGAGA